UUUUGUUGGUCUCCCAAGCUCAUUUCUUUUCUUUUCUACUCUCCAUGUGCAGCGACCUUCUAUGAGAGAAAAGGGCAAGAGUGCAACUUGUUUUCUAGGCAUCUUCCUACUUAGGUUUCUUCGUUGCAAGUAAAGGUUAUGAUCUUGUUAACAUAUCCCUAGGUGUAGUUCAUUGAAAGAAACUCUCUAUAGUAAGAAAAUCCUCUCCCUGUCAUGCGAUGUACAUGCUGUAAAAAGGGUUUCAUGUGGUCUUCUACACUUUAAAGCUUGGGAUUGUUGAAUAGUUGAAGUGGAAGGUAGAUAAGUGAAAACCAAGGGGUGUGAAUCCAAGGGAUUCGAAUCAAGUGAGGCGGACUAUGCGUGGAUAGCUAAUUGCACAAACUUCUUGGAUAACAAGUUGUAGAGACGAAAAGCGUUCAGGUAUCGCAGCAGUUGACGAUCGUUCUCGGGGCAAGAGGCUCGUGGUUGAGGAGUAGAUCUGAGCAUGGAUGUUGCCUGCUUAUUUUGGGAGUCUGUUGUAUUUAUAUAUACACUGUGAUGUAUUAUGUUUAUGUAGGUUGAUGUAGGAUGUUGUAGUUAUGACACAUAGCCACCUUUUAAUGUGAUAUAUGUAGAGUUAUGGAUCAUGCAUGUACAUUACUGUAUAUGAUAUGGGAUUGUUGUAUAUUGUGGGAUGUAAGAGCCCCAAGGCAUUGUUGGUCCUUGUGUGUGCCACCCACUGAUUA